GAUGAACGCUGGCGGCGUGCCUAAUACAUGCAAGUCGAGCGAACAGACGAGGAGCUUGCUCCUCUGACGUUAGCGGCGGACGGGUGAGUAACACGUGGAUAACCUACCUAUAAGACUGGGAUAACUUCGGGAAACCGGAGCUAAUACCGGAUAAUAUAUUGAACCGCAUGGUUCAAUAGUGAAAGACGGUUUUGCUGUCACUUAUAGAUGGAUCCGCGCCGCAUUAGCUAGUUGGUAAGGUAACGGCUUACCAAGGCAACGAUGCGUAGCCGACCUGAGAGGGGGAUCGGCCAACACGGAACUGAGACACGGUCCAGACCCCUACGGGAGGCAGCAGUAGGGAAUCUUUCGGAAUGGGCGAAAGCCUUACGGAGCAACGGCGCGUGAGUUAUGAAAGUCUUCCGAUCGUAAAACCCUGUUAUUAGGGAAGAACAAAUGUGUAAGUAACCAUGCCCGUCUUGACGGUACCUAAUCAGAAAGCCACGGCUAACUACGUG
rnacentral:rRNA from 1 species